rnacentral:rRNA from 1 species
AGGCAGCAGUGGGGGAAUAUUGCACAAUGGGCGCAAGCCUGAUGCAGCCAUGCCGCGUGUGUGAAGAAGGCCUUCGGGUUGUUAAAGCACUUUCAGUCGUGAGGAAGGUAGUGUAGUUAAUAGCUGCAUUAUUUCGACGUUAGCGACAGAAGAAGCACCGGCUAACUCCGUGCCAGCAGCCGCGGUAAUACGGAGGGUGCGAGCGUUAAUCGGAAUUACUGGGCGUAAAAGCGCAUGCAGGUGGUUUGUUAAGUCAGAUGUGAAAGCCCGGGGCUCAACCUCGGAAUUGCAUUUGAAACUGGCAGACUAGAGUACUGUAGAGGGGGUAGAAUUUCAGGUGUAGCGGUGAAAUGCGUAGAGAUCUGAAGGAAUACCGGUGGCGAAGGCGGCCCCCUGGACAGAUACUGACACUCAGAUGCGAAAGCGUGGGGAGCAAACAGGAUUAGAUACCCUGGUAG